CCUUGUUCCUACACGACCCGAUCAAUUCAAUUCGAUCAGGCACUCGCCAUCUAUUUUCAUUGUUCAACUCUUUGACAACAUGAAAAACCAAAAGUUCUGCCCUUCCAUCCCUUGGAUAGAUAGAGGGGGAGGGCAGAGGCCUUUGGUGUCCCCUCCAAUCAAGAAUUGGGGCCUCACAAUCACUAGCCAAUAUGAAUAUGCUUUUCUUUCAUGCCUUUCUUCGAUCAUGGUUCGAUAUGAU
rnacentral:rRNA from 1 species